rnacentral:rRNA from 1 species
UGGGGAAUUGUUCGCAAUGGGCGCAAGCCUGACGACGCAACGCCGCGUGGAGGAUGAAGAUUUUCGGAUCGUAAACUCCUGUCGAGCGGGACGAACGAUCUGCGACCUAAUACGUCGUGGAAGUGACGGUACCGCUAGAGGAAGCCCCGGCUAACUCCGUGCCAGCAGCCGCGGUAAUACGGGGGGGGCAAGCGUUGUUCGGAAUUACUGGGCGUAAAGGGCUCGUAGGCGGCCAACUAAGUCAGACGUGAAAUCCCUCGGCUUAACCGAGGAACUGCGUCUGAUACUGGAUGGCUAGAGAUUGGGAGAGGGAUGCGGAAUUCCAGGUGUAGCGGUGAAAUGCGUAGAUAUCUGGAGGAACACCGGUGGCGAAGGCGGCAUCCUGGACCAACACUGACGCUGAGGAGCGAAAGCCAGGGGAGCAAACGGGAUUAGAUACCCGCGUAGUCC